CCCCAGAGCACUUCUCCACUCCUGCCAGGGCGUGAGGACACAGCCAGAAGAUGAAAGUGUAUGAACCUUAAGCAGGUUCCCAGCAAGUAACACACCGGGGACUUCUCUGCCUCCAGAAUAUGUUAGACUGAGACCAUCUCCUGCGACUGAGUACAUCAAUCCCCCGGUACUGCUAAAGGCCUGCCCGUUGUCUAUCAAGCAAACAAAAGAUUCCACAGAAAAGAACAUGGACCAGCCAAGAGGCUUAGAAACCAAGGAAUGACAUGGCAUUGAGUUCCUGGGAGCUAGUUUUGGUAUUUAUAUGAGAGACAGGGUAAUGAAUAAAAUGGCUUAUGUAAUUGA